AUGUGAUCCUUGGAGAUGCCAGGAAGCCCCUUGACACAUGUGGCAUGGGCUCCUUCAGAGGCUUUUGGAUCCGUCGUGAAUGUGGCAUGGGCAUGCAAAGAAAGACAGAGGCUGCAAGGGAUAAACUUCAUCUUGGGAGAUCCCUGGAGAUGGCAGGGAACCCAUGGACACAUGUGGCAUGGGCUCCUUUGGGUGCCGGUGGAUCCCUUCAUACGGUAAAGCCAGAGUUGGGUAUCAACCAGAUACACUGCAGGGGAUCAGAGGACAUGGCCUUUGUGUACUGCACAUCUGUCAGAUUUUCUCAAGCACACCCGUGUUUCCUCUUCACCUCCCACGUGGAAGUGAUGAAUUGGCCAGGACCAUGUUGGUGAGGGACAAUCAUCAUCUCAUGUUAACCUCAGAGAAGCCAGGAAGCUCCUGGACACACAUGGUGUAGGCUUCCUUGGAGGCUGUUGGAUCUCUCCUGAAUGUAGUGUUGGUGUAAAAGGCAAACCCGUGUCAUGAGGGAUGGUCAUCAUCUUGUGUGAUCCUUGGAGAUGGCAGGAAGCCCUGGACAUACAUGGUGUGGGGGCUCCUCCAGAGGCUGUUGGGAUCCUCCUGGAUGUGGUGUGGGCAUGGAAGGAAGGCCAGUGGAGACAAUGGAUGAUCUUGUUCUUAGCAGAUCACUGGAUGUGGCAGGGAGUCCUAGGACAUGUGUGGUGUGGGCUUCUUCAGGUGCUGGUGGUGUUGGCAUGAGGAAAGGAGGUAUCUUCGAGGGACAAUCUUCUUCUUGUGCGAUCCUUGGAGAUGCCAUGAGGCCCCUGGACACAUGUGGUGUGGGCUCCUUUGGAGGCUGUUGUAUCCCUUCUGAAUGUGGCGUGGGCAUAGAAGGAAGGCCAGUGGCCACGAGGGACAAUCUUGGUCUUGGGAGAUCCUGGAAAUGAUAGGGAGUCCCUUGAUAUGUGUGGCAUGGGCUCCUUCAGGUGCUAGUGGAUUCCUUAGGAUGGUGGUGUUGGCAUGAAAGGCAGGCUUGUAUCAUGAGGAAUGAUUGUCAUCUUGUCUGAUUCUUGGAGAUGGCAGGAAGCCCCUGGAAACACAUGGUGUGGACUCUUUCACAGGCUGUUGAAACCCUCCUGAAUGUGAGGCCAGAGACAGGCAGACAGCAGAUGUAUUGCAGGGAGCUGGAUGACAUGGCCCUUGGAACCUGUGCACAUGCCUGCCUUUCUGAUGCACGUCCAUGUUUUCUCUGCACCUCCCCGGUGGUGUUGGUAUAAAAAGCAGGCUUACAUCAGCAAGGGAUGAUUGUCGUCUCAUGCGAUCCUGGGAGAUGGCAGAAGUCCCGGGACACAUGGAGUGUGGGCUCUUUCGGAGGCUGUUGGAUCCCUCCUGAAUGUGUUGUGGCCAUGGAAGUAAGGCCAGUGGCUACGAGGGACAGUCUUCAUCUUGGGAGAUCCCUAGAGAGGGCAGGGAGCCCCUUGACAUGUGGAAUGUGAUCUCUGUUGGGUGCUGGUGGAUCCCACAGGUGGUCUGGCAUGGAAGAAGGCCAGAGGCUGCGAUGGAUCAUCUUUGUCUUGGGAGAUUCCUGGAGAUGGUGGGGAGCCCCUGGGCACGUGCAGCAUAUGUGGCGUGGGCUUCUUCAGGUGCUGGUGGAUCCCUCAGGAUGCUUUUCAAGGUUUUUCUAUGAGUUCUGUUAAAGAGUCUGAAAAUGGAGCGUAGAAGACAUGCUUCGAUUUCCAGGAUGGUUGUGUUUUCCAGAGAGGCGGAGGUAAACCACUGGCGCAGCCCUGCCUCCCACAGAUAAUUCCGGGUGCAGUGUUUCAUAUCUAGACUUGGACUUCUAUCCUACCAUACUUCUUUGUGUGCAGUUCAUUGUGGAACCAGCACAGAUUUUCAUACGAAAGUUAUUUCUUUUUAACCUCAAAAAGUGACAGAAUGGAGUGUAUCAUGAAAAAGUCUGACAUCAAAACCUCAAAAUGUGAUAUUGAUUGGGUGAGAUAGAAUUCCAUGGAAUUUCAUUGCCAAACCAGUGAAGUGCUAAUUUUGACAUUUGUACCAGCUAACGUAGCUGUGAAGAAACACACCAAUACACUUCUAAGGACAGCAUAGACCAAGAUCUAGGUUUCAUAUGGAUGAAUUUAUUCUUCCCUUUGAGGCAAGACAAGAAGGAAAGAAAGUAUUGGGAAUAAUGCUGCCCUCCCAUCCUCAAGGGCCAGUGGGAACUCUAAUAUUGAUUGGGUGAGAUACAAUUCCAUGGAAUUUUACCACUGAACCAGUGGAGGGCUAAUUUUGUCAUUUGUACCAGUUAACUAACUUGGGAGGAAACAGAACAACACACUCCUGAGGGUAAAAUGGAAACUCUGAGAGUUUGGUUGGCGGCAUCUAUAUACCAUAGAAACAGAGCCUGGGAAGCAGAACAGUGAGACCCAAGAGAAAUGUUCCUGCCUAUACUUGAUUGGUUUUCACAGAAUUCCAUGGACUUUAACUGCUGAACCAAUGAUGCACUGAUUUUGUCACUUGUACCAGCUAACGCAUCUGGGAGGCAACAAAACAAUACUCUCCUGAGGUUAAUGUGGACCAAAAACUAGAUUUCAUAUAAAAGAGUUUAUUCCUUCUACUUGAGGUGUGACAUGAAGGAAAGUAAUGGAAAUAAUUCUGCCCUCCCAUUCUCAAGGGCCAGGGGGAAUUCAAAUAUUGAACGGAAGUGAUUUUGGAAUUGCAUGGAAUUCUCACUGCCAUCCCAAAGAAAUGCUGAUCUUGUCACUCUUACCUGUUUCAUUCCCUGGGGGCAGAACAAAAGGACGCACUCCAAAGAUCGGCAUGAACCAAGAACUGGGUUUCAUAUAAAAUAUUUUAUUCUGUCCUCUUGAGAUGUGACAUGAGAAAAGUAUUGAGAAUACUUCUAUCACCUCAUCUUCAAGAAUCCGUAGGAAUUCUCCCAUGGUGGACUUUACGGUUAACCUGAACAGGUCUUGGAAAAAGGACUUUAAACAUUCUCCUGUUCUGUGGAAUAAGUAUACUUUUUUCUGGACAUACACCUUGUCAGUUCCAUGUGAUACUAGAGUUGCAUAGAUUUUUAACCUUUACGCCAAUGAAGAUCUGAGGCAAACAUUGCCCCUUUUUUAGAAGUUUGCAUUUGUCACUGAUAACUGUAAUAAUUGAUCUUGUUGAAAAGCCUGGGAAAUGAAGAUCUGAUAUGUCACUUUUACCGGCUUCCUCAACUGAAAAAGAAUACAAUGAAACACGCUGAGAAUUUUUGUGCUUUCUCAGUCUUGCUGAUGAUCUUUCUAUGGGCCUGAAGCGUGGAGAGUGCCAGAGAGGCUGAUCCUCAGCAGUGUGGCAGAGGAAAGUUGGGUGCGACUAAGGGGUAUGCGGUGCCCACAUGCCACUGGGUCCUCAGCAGUACCACCUGAUUGGAAGUGAUAUUGGUGGAAGACAACAUUUUGCCGCUUGGAAUUCUCACCUCCACACCAAAGAAGUACUGUUUUUGUCAUUUGCACCAGCUUCUUUCUCCAGGAAAGAUCAAAACGAUGCACUGCAAGUGUGAUUGGUCCAGAUAGCUGCCUUAUCCAACUGCCUCCUUUGGACCACUUCAUCAUGGGACAGCUUGAUGCAAUCUACUUGACAAGACCCUGGAACCCCACACCCCUCAUGGAACCAGUGUCCACCUCCCAGUCACAGUGUGACCCCAGGGAACUCUUGCCUGCUUGCUUUAAACCCACCACUUAAAAGUCUCCACAGAAAACCUGUUUGAAUAGUACCCUUGACCCAAUAAGGGCAUUGGCCCCUGGGUGUCUCUCUCUCUCUCUCUCUCUCUCUCUCCCUCUCUCUCCCUCUCUCUCUCUCGCUCCCUGACCUCUGCGUGUGGACUCCAGGCAUGCCAUAUACCCCUCAGGACCUGAAGCAAAAGAAUGAAUUAAAGAAAACUCCAGAGAAUGAGCUGACAACCUACUCCCUGGUCAGUGGCUCUCCAUGCCUACCUGUGGUCUCUUGGACACCCUUGCAGAAGAUGACUUCCUGGGAACUCUUCUGGGAGUGAAUGUUAUCAGCAAAUUCCCAAAACAACACCCCUUAGACAAAAAGCCUCCUCACCUAUGCAUUGCCUAGACCACCCACUAAAGGUGAUGGCCACAAAGAGGUGGAUUUGUUGAGUUGGUGCCAUUCCUUCUACUGCCAGCUUCACCAAAACAAUGACACAGUCUUCCUUCCGCAUGGAGACUCUUCUCUUUCCUGUGUUGCAGUGGAUGCCUCCUGCAGAUAAGAAAUGCUUAACUGAGAAAUGCUCAUGUUGGGAUAUCAUCGAUGAGACUUUAAUUUGGGCAUGGUGACUGUUUCCCUUGCUGCCACUUGACUCAAUCCCAGGAGCCUCAGUAGAGGAUAUAAUAUUACACAAGAUGCUCAAAAUGGUGGAAUUGCUCAGUGCUCCCAUAAAUAUACAUUUAUAAUUUUCAUUUGCCACAUGGUAAACUGAAAAAUACAGACUAUAUUAAAAAGAAACUGCAUGAUUUUUUUUCAAAAAUUCAAAGCAUAUUUAAAUAAUAUAUAAAUUAAAUGCCCUCCUCUCUUCCAAUUCUGUCCCUAUAGUUUUCCUCUAUUAAGUGAACUACAUGCAUUCUUUUAGUGGAUAGAUGCACACAAACACACAAGCCAUUAUGGGGAAGGAUCCACGUGUGUGGCCAUAUUGUAACACAUUUUUCUGCAAAUCACCUCUUUCAUUUAACAGCCCUUAUUCAAUGGCCUUUUUCUUUUUCAGUAGUACAUACACAUCUGUGUCAUUUGUUGAAUGACGACAUGAAUGUUUUGUAGAUAAAAUAUAAUUAAAUGUUUUAAGCAUUUCUCACUCAUAGAUAUUUAUGUUAGCACCAAAUUUCUGUGCAAUGAACCUCCCUAUAUAUCAGUAAUUUUGCAUUUGUCUAUAAUAUCAUAAUAAAUUACUUAUCAGUUGAAUUACUGGGAUUAAGUAUGUGCACACUUUAUAUUUAUAUUUUGAAAAUUAUUGCAAGAUUGCCUUCAAAAAUGUGGUUAACAACUUUAUCUUCAAAUGGCAAUGAAUGAGAUUGCCAGCUUUCCUACAGCCUCACAGACAAUGGAUUUUAUAAAUAUUUAACAUUUUUGCCAAUGUGAUCACCCAAACUAUUGUCUUAAAUUGUAUCUCUUUUGUUUUUGAGUUUGGUCAUUUUUUCAUGUUUAUUAGCCAUCUGUAUUUUUUAAUUUCUUCUUUAUGUCCAAUUUUGUGGGUGGGAGGAGGAUUUAGUCUCUUCCUGAUUUCGAAGAGCUCAUUUACUAUUUCGGGAAAUAAGAUUUGGAUUGUCAACCAUUAUAGCUAUUUUUUACACACUUUUCAACUUUGUUUUUGUUAUAAGAAUGUGUAUGAUUGUUACAUGUCCAAGUAUAACCAUGUUCGCUUUUAUGGCUUCUGAGUUUCAUGUCAUUUUUGGAAAGAUAUAUAUAUUGAGUCCAUAAAACCCUUCACCUAUGUUAAAUUCUAAUUCUUUUGUGUUUUUUUAAUUCAAAUUCUUAAAUCAUGAGAAAUUUUUUUGUUUUGAAAUCUUAAAGUUGCCAAGUUACUUGCCAUUACUUGCGAUUAUUUGCCAAUAAUUGCCCAUUUAUCUGUACCGCCAUCUUGCGCAUAUGCUGUACUCUCAUCUGUGACUGGCUCCAUUUUUGUUCUGUGGAUUUGUGUGUCUCUUCUUCUGCCUCCUGUCUCGUGUCUGCUCGUUGGAAGAAAUUACAGUUUAGACUGCAAUUUCAUCAACUUUAAUAAAUCAAUUGAGGGGAGAAUUGGUUUUUAAAAAUAUUAAGUAAGUCUUCGUAUCCAAGGACAAGGUAUGUCUUUUCUUAUUCAAUAAUUUUAAUUACUGUUAAUAUUUUCACUGUGGUGAUGGGAGUUUUUCUUUUAAUUUAUUUUCUUGUUCAUUUUUUGUAUCUAAAGUUUUUGUUUUGUUUUGUUUUGGGGGUAAGUUGUCACCUUACUGUUUCUUGUUGCUUUUCAGAUUUUUUCAAAGUAUAGACUAAAUCCUUCACAAAUAUUUAAAGUUUUUAUUUUCCCCCUUCAUAUUGAUCCUGAUUUUAGUUAUGUUGACAAAGUCCACAGACUGUUACUAUCAGAACACUUGAACAGUUAUGGAAAUAUUACCUACCCUUGAUUUAAUCAGAGUUUAAUGGUAUGCUUCUUUGGUUUGACUGGCACAUUGUCGCUGGUCAUUUCCUCCCAAAGACCACCAGAAAGAGCUAUGAUCAAGCAAAGCUGAGUUUGUUAAACUUACCUGCAGCAAGGGAAAACACCACCUUGAUAGGGUUUAAUAAUGUUUCAAAAUCAAGAAAUGAGGCUUUGGGGUCUGGGCAGGGAACUAAUUAGAAAUGGGCAAAAUUUGUCAUGCAAUACCUUGUGGGAAAGUGAGAUGAGGUUCUUAAUGUGAGUAUUGAUGGUGAAAUCAUUUUCUAGGUGAGCUGUUUGCCUAUAUAAAGAUGUUAUCAAUGACAGAAGAACUAUUUGCCUAGAUAAACAAACUGAAUUUAUUUAUUGGUUUACAGUUUUAUCUUGCUGGGCAGGACUCUGCUGGGGGUGGUAUCAGGUCUUAUUCCCAAUAGGUAAGUUAUUUGGAUAUGGGUGGUCUUAAUCAUCAAUGUGUAAAAUGCUGAUUUUAAGUGCGAAAUACUUUGUCUACCAUGUUAGGAAAGUCUGCCACCUUUUAUCUUUUUUAAGGAAUUUUAAUCAAAACCAGGUGGUAGAUAUAAUCAAAUUGUUUUGCAGAAUCAAUUUUCCUGUUCUCUUUAAAGACUUUUAUCACUGUGAAUUAAUUUACUAUUAUUGCAACUUCCUUUAAUUCCUUGAAUGAACAGACCCUACUGGUUUUAAAAAUGUUUUAUUCUUUUAAUUUACUACUUAAUUGUGGGUAUUUUAAUUUGAUUUGGAAUUUUUACAAGUAUACAACUAAGUGAAAUUGAUCUGUGAUUUUUCUUUUUUGUGCUAUUUUUGUCAUGUUUUGAUAUCAGAUAUUCUGGUUGUGUUAAAAUAAUUUUGAGGAUUUUCUUCUUAUACUGUGUUCUAGAGUGGGUAAAAAAGCCCUAGUCUCACUAUCAGUGUUUAAGUGAACACAUCAGUGACAUCAUCUGGACUCUCCUUUGUUUUUGCUGGUUUGGAGUUAGGACAUCUAGAAGUUUUUUUCUUUUUUUCCUUUUUUUGUAUGGUUAUUGCUUGUUCUUUGUUUUGUGUCAAAUUUAACCUGUUUUCUCUUAGCAAAUCACAGCUCAUGCAGAUUUUCAAACACAUUAGCCUUGUUAUACAAAGUGUUCUUUCAUCAUUCUAUUAAAUUUCCAUUUUCAUUCCAGUUAUAGUUAUUUCUGCUGUGCCUUUGUUAAUGAAUAAGUUUAAACAGUGGAUGUUUAGCAUCACUAGCCUUCCCCUUCCAUCUCCCUUAAUCAGGACCUUGGUAUAAUUUAUCAGGUAUUUUUUAAGGUUCUAAUUUACUUAUAUAUAUUGUUUCUGUAUUCUUUUGUUUCUUUUCUUAAUAAAUUCUUAAA
rnacentral:lncRNA from 1 species